rnacentral:piRNA from 1 species
UACACGGACCUGGAUUCAGAACUUAAGAUC